UCUAAUUUUGUCACCAGGGCGCAGAUACAUUAAACACGUAUUUAUUACGUUAUUGUGUGUUAACAGUAUUCUGUUCUGCUAGUAUCAUGGUACUGUAUUUUCUCGAUAUUUAUCUUCAUACAAAAUUCUAUAAUUCAUGAACAAAUGAAUUUCCUACGACAUUGUGUGAUAUUUCAAGAUAUUGUAGAACAUCGUAUCACCUAAGACGAAACAAAAGACGUCAUACAAGUUUUCUUGUUCAUUUGGUUGCGAUUUUGGUCUCUUUACUGCUGUGUCGGAAUUAUCUAUAAACUAUAUUGCAAUUUUCUGAGGCGGAAAUAUUUAAGAAACGGGACAAGAAAGAACACGAAGAACAAGUGAGAGAAUCAAGAUAGAAGUAAAUGGACAAGUGAUUGACCCAACAGCAUAUAACACGUCAGGAUCAUUAACACUAAGGAUCUCUCACUUUGUCGGCGAGUGGAAAUAAAGAAAAGAGGAAGAGAAUUCAGCAAUCACAAUGGAAUAUACACUGAAUGAACACACGUAAAUCACAAUCCACUGUAACAACUUUAUGUAAAACCUAGUUACACUGAUACGUUAAGUACGCGACUGGUUUAAGGGCAGAAACUUGGUAAAAGGUGUUGACUAUUCUGAAGAUAGAGACUGAGUAGUUUAGUGACGAUGUUGUGGCGGAGGAAAGCUACGUAUGGGUGUGUCUGAGGCCACGAGAUGAGCUGAUUCGUUAAGGACAAUUUUGUAUAGGAAAGCGAGGGCGAUAGACAUUGCUUAGAUUGGUGUUAGGUUGGGAUUAGGUACAAGAACUCUGAUGGACUAGGAAGGGUCCUUAGCCGUUCUUGAGAGGAAGUUGCUAACGCAAAAUACCGAAUGUGAGAAAACUAACUUUCCCGUAUCUUCUCAUAGUAAAUAAAAAUGUAAAGAAUACUGGAAAUAGAAGAUGCUAGUUUUUGGUCUGAAGGACCAUAAAAAUGCCAAGAUUUAUUGGUGGGUCCUUAAGACUAUUGAGGGUACCCAUUAAGGAUGCGUAGACAUUUUGAUGCCAUCUUGUGUGGUCUCUGUUGUGGAUUACGACUAUGCCCAUGUGUACAUACACAUAAGAUUAUCACUUCGAAAAAUAGACGUACUCCAACUACUUCGAAAUAACUGUCCGGAACAAAUUCGGGCGGCCAUAUGCUGACACGCAUCCUUAACGGUAAAAAGACUUGAGUAGCUAUUUGCAGACACUCAUCUGCAAAGGAUUAGACUUCCUCUUAAUUAUACUCUAUUUAUUCCAUGCUUAUUUACUUAUAACCGUUAAAAUGAUCAAGGAAGUGAUUAUGAUUUUUAAUUAGCAGCAAACUACGGGUAGCGGAAAAAUAUUCUUCUAUAAGAAGAUAACUAACCAUAUAAUUAGAUAUAAUUAGAAUUAAAGUGGCUGGACCGCGAAGUCUCAAGAAUGUACAUAUGAAGCAAAGCACAUACGGAAGCAAGAUUCUCUUCUACAUCCUGCGGCAAAAUUCGAAGAAUAUUUUCUAGGAACUUGCGAAUAUAAUGCAUUACUGUAUGAUUAAUUUUCUUAAUAUUGUAGUAUCGGGAAAAAAGGAUAGGAUUAGGUUAAUUUAGAUUUUUAAAAUUCUCCUAAUACUAUUUAUUAAGAUAAAUAAAAAUAACAGAGAUUAAUUGGAUAGAGAACGAUAAAUGUUCAACUUGAAUUAAGACACAAAAGUCUUAUUCUACUUUAUAACGCAACAACUCGAUCUCUCUACAACGCUAGCAACUCUACAACUCUACAACUCUAGUUUUUGGCUUCUCCGCUCGCACGCUCUCACUUCUCAACUCAUACUGCACGCCUUUUGCAUUCGUUCUCGCCUGCGUCUUAACUAACAUUGUCUUUAGCGUCUCUUUUGUUUUUUCCCGCCCUAUAGCGCACGUGUCCCGAAAACGCUCGUGGCCAGGGUCACGCAGGCCUUUUCGACGAAACUGUUCAGUUGAAAGGAUCGACGAUACAUUGAUGUACCCAACGAUACCGCGGUUCUCGCAACAUUGUAUACGGUUCGGCCGAUAUCUUAGGCCUUUUGUCCACGAUAUUACAAUGUCAUAGUAAAAUGUAUCUCUUUUAAUUCUACACUGAAAGACAACUAGGUCCAUAAACUGGUACUACGAGAACCUAGAAACUAUGAAGGAUAUUUCGAUAAAAAAUAUUCUCUCAUUUAACUCAUUUAUGAAUUUACGCGCUCGUCUAAUAUCUAAGUACACUUCAAUUGCAACACACAUAACGUCUUAUGUUAAUAAUUAUUGGACACGAGGAAAAUUACAGCGUAAUAUCGACGUCGCGUUUAUUAAAAUUAUCAAGAUCACUUUCGUAAUUAUGCAACGGGCUGUUUUGAAGUCGCUUGAUGUUCCAAAGUGGUUGAAAGUUGAAAAUGAUACAACGACCCGAGUAAAAGUCACUCGAAGAAUACGAAAUCACUCGAAAUCAAGCUGUUUUCGUACGCGAAAUCGAAAACAGGAAGGUACGAACAACGAGUGCCGGCUAACGCAACCAAUGUUUCCUGGGAAUGUUUGUUUUUUGAAAAUAAAUACAAACUUGUUUGUUCAAAUCAAUUUUUAUUUCCCUCGCAUUAUAAAAUUACAUGUUCGUCGUCUCGACAUUACUUUGUUUUUUUUUUUUGUUUUCGCUUGCUUUGCAUAUACAAAUAAAUACUACGUCCGCUACAUUCGAUCAUUACGUCGUUUAUGAGCUUAUUUUUUUAAUGGGUAAUUGUAUUUGCUCAUAAACAAUUAUAAGAUCGAAUCCCCUAUGUUCGAAUAAUUAUAUUUAAAUAAUUCCUACAACCAGCUUCAUCACUUGCUCCUCGUAUUUAUGUCUGUAUUUCUUUUCAGGGUCGAAUUUGUUCAUCAUUCUCUCCCACAUUUCUGGCUUCUUUGUGAUUAAAAAGAUGACCACCUUGUUGACAUUCUCUCUUUGCUUUUCAGUACAUCUCGCGCAUUCGGUGGCCAGAGCUUCGGGCAAUAUCUCUGAAAAUUGAAAACAGAAACAUUAUUUUGCAAUACUGUUUCUCUGAAACAUGGGAACUAAAGGUAUUGCAGAAUAAUGGAGGAUAACAACAUUUCGGCGAUGGUUUGCUUACUGAUCAAUUGCAUACAUAUAUAUCUCUGUUAACGAAAGAGAAAUAAUAUAAAAUGUCAAAGAGUAUUGUGCUUGAAAAGAUAUAUCAAAUUGAUCUUGUCCUUAAACGAUAGAUUAGAAAUUUGGAGAAAGAAAUGGAUAGUUGAUGUGUAAGUGCAAUUAUUUGCUUCACGUUUCAUUUAUGAUAGUAGAUAUAUAUUAUAUGGAAAUGAUUGAAUUAACACGUUAAUACAAUGAAGCUGAUAAUAUGAAGGUAUUGAGAGUAAAAAUAAAACUAGUGACAAUAUGAUUCUUAUGACAAAUUGCAAUAACAAUAAGAAACUAUUUGAGCACAUAAUCAAAGUAGAUAUUCUACUAAUAGAGUACACAAUUAUUAUUAAUUAUAUUAAUUCUUUUGCGUAGAAUAUGUGUGUACAAAAGCUUUAUUUCUCAUAACAUUAUAGCUGAUAAUAUGAAGGUAUUGAGAGUAAAAAUAAAACUAGUGACAAUGUGAUUCUUAUGACAAAUUGCAAUAACAAUAAGAAAUUAUUUGAGCACAUAUUCAAAGCAGAAUCAAAGUAGAUAUUCUACUAAUAGAGUACACAAUUAUUAUUAAUUAUAUUAAUUCUUUUGUGUAGAAUAUGUGUGUACAAAAGCUUUAUUUCUCAUAACGUUAUAGCUGAUAAUAUGAAGGUAUUGAGAGUAAAAAUAAAACUAGUGACAAUGUGAUUCUUAUGACAAAUUGCAAUAACAAUAAGAAAUUAUUUGAGCACAUAUUCAAAGCAGAAUCAAAGUAGAUAUUCUACUAAUAGAGUACACAAUUAUUAUUAAUUAUAUUAAUUCUUUUGUGUAGAAUAUGUGUGUACAAAAGCUUUAUUUCUCAUAACGUUAUAGCUGAUAAUAUGAAGGUAUUGAGAGUAAAAAUAAAACUAGUGACAAUGUGAUUCUUAUGACAAAUUGCAAUAACAAUAAGAAAUUAUUUGAACACGUAUUCAAAGCAGAAUCAAAGUAGAAUCAAAGUAGUUCUUUUGUGUAGAAUAUGAUUAAUACGAUUAAUAGCGAAUACGUAUUAUCACUUACGUUUGAAAUCAUUUCCGUCAGAAGUGCAUCUUGCUUCACCUAAGAAACACUUCAAAUAAUUAACCAACAAGCGAUCACUGUUCAGAAUUUCAUCUACAUUGAUUUUGUCAAAUUUAGCUGGGUAUUUGUCUGUAGAGGAAAGAUCUUUGGAAAAUACGUUCAGGGUCAAGUCAUCGGGUCGGGCAAGCGAGUAGACGAUUGUCAUGACAACGAACAGACAGAUCAGUAGUUGAUGCAUAGCUAUAGAAGAGAAAUUUAAAAUUAUAAUUAGAACAUACGAUGUAAAUUUUACAGCCUUUCAACAAAUUUUGCAAAAUGGAAACCUCUCUGAAGCUCUUUUUCAAGUUAUAAUAUCGAUCGAUAUUUCAUUGACUGAUAUCUAUUUAUAGAAGAAUCAGAUACAGUAGAACCACAUUUAUGUAUUGAAUGUAAAACUUCAUGAAACAACAAACUUCCCAAAAUUCUGUCUAAAAAUUGAAUAUUUGAUUUUGCCGAUUAGCUUUCAUUGUCUUGCAAUUAUCGCAAUUGUCAACAAAAUCUUAUAAAGAUUGAACGCAAGCGGAACGCGUUUUGAAAAAGACUUUAAGAAGCAGAAACCUUUCCAACAAUCGUAUCGAUCGUUCUUUACUGCCUUUACAACGAUAACGAACUUGGACCGAGCUUCUCAAGUAAUAAAGUUAUAGUUAAGAGAAAAUAUUGUACUUGGACGUUUUCGGAAAUUUGAAAAUUGGACAAUUACAGCCAAUGUAAACCGUAGCUGACCACUAACCUUUCAUUGUAAGACGAUGAAUGUUCACGUUUUAUAUUUACUUAUGUUUAUCGCUACUCGCAGAUACUGUAAACACGCCAGAUAUUCACCUGAACGGGUCAGCCACGAUUAAACUGCGAUUGUAGAACUCUUGCACAUGAUACUUAUAUAUGAUUCAGUCUCUGGUGGUAGGAUUAAUCAUGGAGGUUGAAGGUGGGAAGAAGAACAACUCACACAAGUCGAUCGCUAGUUGAAACCCCACGCUAUACCUUUGCCUUCGUGUUAUUUCAACUUUCAGUAAAAUGUUUGUCUCACUUAUUGACGAAGAUAGGCAUUUUAAUGGAAUAUAAUAUCUUUUUUUCUAGCGCUCGUAUCAAUAAAACAUACCUCUGUAUUAAUAAAAUACACGACUAAUUUCUUCUGUAGCUUUAGUGUUUAAAUAUAUAAAAUGUAUGCAAAUGUAUAAAACAGAAAAAGCGGGGAGAAUAAUAUUAAUGUUAAAUCGAAUCGUUAGUACUUUCAUCCUGUAUCUUCUGCCAGAACUUCGCUCGUCGUUUCUCCAAAAUAAAUAUGAGCAGAGAUAA